CUUUUAUCAACACACUGGUUGUGGAUAUGGAUGAUUUAGUUUCUGUAAGCCUUACAUAGCGAUCUCUUUGUAUUUGUCCAAUCAUAACAUGUCCAUCUAAAAACACAGAACGGCUUUGAAGUUUCUGACUGUGAUUUAGUAUAGUAGUGGUUCACAUGCCAUUCAAAACUCAAAACUAACUCUGUGGCCAAACUACUGCAGCCUCAUGUUCGGUUACGCAAAUACCUGAACGCAGACGUGAUUCCUAAAUUCAACGCAACUCUCAGCAUUGCCGCAAGGGGCGCUUACAUCGUCAAAAUAGCGUAAAUUACUUGUGGAUCAACUAGUCAUGACGCAGCAACAAUUUAUUAACAUUUAGUUUAAUGUCAGAUACAUUUAAAAAUUUAAUUUAACCGCUCUCUGAAUAUUGAGGUUUGUUAGCGCGAGACCAAAACAAGAGCGCCAAGCGUCUGCGUUCGUGUAUUAGCGCAAAGAAUGUUUUUUACUGCGCAUGUGGAAGAUUUCACAAACCAAACAAACCAGUAGCAGAAAGGCAGAUUAUAUCGCCAGGUUGAUGCAAAAUAUCGGAUGCAGGUUAGUAAAAAGUUUUACUGAAUCUUGCUGUGUCCCUGUCUGACUCUAAACGGUGUUAUCGCCACUGCUGGUGGAGGUCCGAUUGACCUCAUUCUGGCAGCUCAAUAUUGCAUUUCAGGGAAACAAAAUUACAAAGUUAUUCAGCCUUACUUUUCAAAAAAUAAUCAUGAAAAACUGGUGGAAUUUUAACAACUCACAACCACUCGCUCUCACACAAGGGAGAGACAUCCCUGGGCAAGAAAAAAAACAAUGGAUAUAUGGAACCAAUCCACAUUACGGUCCCCUGCCUGAACUUUUUAGACUCUUUUCGAUAGAACCAUCUUUAAGAAAUUGUUCAGUGGUAUUCAGCACUGAAUUUUCUUAAUAUAGUUACUGGUACUUCAACAUAAUCACUGCUCAGGAGCCCAGAUUACUCUCCAUGUGAGAAGUCACCACCCAGGUAGAACUUAUAUAUGUAGAAAAAUAUAGUUUAAUGAAAUUUAUAUCUAUUAAUUUCUUUUAUCUUUUUUUUUUUGUAUCAUAUCCACCAUGUAAAGUUGUCUACUACAUAUAGCAGGAUCAUCAUGAUUCACUCUGCUAAACACAAAAUGACAUGAAACACCUUUGCACUAUGCCUGGUUAUUUCAUAUUUAAUUUGUGAUUAAUAGUUAGUCGAUUGGCAUUUUUAGGCAACUGCAAUGAGUUAUUCUACAAUAUGAUUACAAUGUAAACACCACAGUACUGAAGUUACUGUAUCCAACAAACAGUAAAGCACAACAAGGCAAAUGGCCAUAUAAGCAUAGAUUUGUUCUUGAUGAAAAAUAAAAACAAAACACACAAAAAAGAAAAAGAAAGAAACAGCAACACUUUGCAUUGGUUCAAAGCCACACGUUUGUAGUUUCCAAAUCUGGUGACUUAUCCCGAGGCAGAUUACAACAGUGUCUGACAAACAUCUAAGCCCAGUUGACCUGAUAUCACAUGGUCAUUUGAUGUGAGCCUGGCCAUUUUUGGACUGAAAUAAUGAGACUUUUUGGUUUCUUGUGGUGUCAGGGCGGGGCCACAAAUAGGUCGUUAAAUAUUGACCUUUUGACACAUAUGUGCCACUGAAUCACAUACUGACCUGAUGUUAAAAAACUCAAUGUGAUAUUAGAACUGAAGGCUGAAUCAAGUAUCUGGAUGCUGAUUUGAUUUAGGCCUGGCAUCCAACACUGCCUCUCAAUACAUCAUAUAUGUGACGUGGGUAAAUCUAUGUUUGUGUGUUUGUGCUGGUUUUAUGGGUUCUCCUUAAGUGAUUUUGGCUGUUCCGGCACAUACAGGUAUUUAUAUUGGCAUCAUCCAUUGGGCUCUAAGAACAUUACAUAUUAUUGCUAGACCGAACUACUAGCAUCCUUUAUAUACUAUCCACAAUACAGAGACAAACUGAUUACUUUAGUUUGGAUAUUGUUUAGACUGUAAUCACAAACACUGUCAAAGACUAUGGCAAUUAAACUUGAUCAUCACAAUCUUUGGCUAUUAAUCUUCCAAAAAGAGA